rnacentral:lncRNA from 1 species
GUGAGGAUGCACGUUCUGAAAUCCUAAACCAUGAGUCUAGCGCUGAAUGACCUGCUCAUCUGCUGCCGGCAGUUAGAACAUGACAGGGCUACAGAACGAAGGAAAGAAGUGGAUAAAUUUAAGCGCCUGAUUCAGGAUCCUGAAACAGUUCAACAUUUGGAUAGGCAUUCUGACUCCAAACAAGGGAAAUAUCUGAAUUGGGAUGCUGUUUUCAGGUUUUUGCAGAAGUACAUUCAAAAGGAAACAGAAAGUCUUAGAACAGCAAAAUCAAAUGUCUCAGCCUCUACACAAACCUCCAGACAGAAGAAGAUGCAAGAGAUUAGCAGUCUGGUCAGAUUCUUCAUCAAAUGUGCAAAUAAAAGUUGCCUGGUCCAGCCUCGACAUGAUGGGUUUUGUUUUAUACCUUAUUUUGUCAUGUUUGAUUGUUGUCUCUUAGAAGCCCGUUCUUUUCUAAUGAGAGACAGGAAGUGAAUCUGGAGA